rnacentral:rRNA from 1 species
UACUUAGGGGGCAAGCGUUGUCCGGAUUUAUUGGGCGUAAAGAGCGUGUAGGCGGCCAUGCAGGUCCGUUGUGAAAACUCGAGGCUCAACCUCGAGACGCCGAUGGAAACCGCAUGGCUAGAGUCCGGAAGAGGAGAGUGGAAUUCCUGGUGUAGCGGUGAAAUGCGCAGAUAUCAGGAAGAACACCGGUGGCGAAGGCGGAUCUCUGGGCCGAUACUGACGCUGAGGAGCGAAAGCGUGGGUAGCAAACAGG